ACGUUUUAACUAUGAUUUAAGUGGUUUAAAAACACUAAAUAAGUAACCAUGAUUAUUUUAUGGGAUCUGGGUCCAUUGGGAUAUAAAGGAUAUUGUGUUUGUUUGUUUUAGCAGUUUUAAAUUGCUCUUUGUGAUAGUAUCUAAAUUAAUGAAAGAAAUAAGCAUGAACUAUGAAAGAAUGUUGAAUACAUUGGUUAAACUAUUACAAAGCAUAAAAGUUGUUUACAGUUGGCUAACCAUCAAUUUAUUAGUUACAGGUCUACAAGGAAUUGUAUAAACAAUUGUAUUUACCCCCUUUUUUCAGGUCGUGGAGGGUUUGCCUUAAUUCCUUUUAUUAAAGGAGAUUUUGUUGUCAAAUAUAGGGGUGAAAUGAUCACCUUAAUUGAAGCCGAACAAAGAAGAGAGGCCAAUCAAGACACUUUUUUUAUGUUUGACUUCAUCUGGCAGAGCAAGAAGUGGAGCAUUGAUGCAACUCAUGAGGAUGGCACCCUUGGCCGCCUUAUAAAUGAUGAUCACAUAAACCCAAAUUGUACAAUGAAAAGGAUUAUCGUUGAGGGAAAACCCUGUUUGUGCCUAUUCGCUGCAAGAGAUAUCAUUCCUGGAGAGGAACUCACAUAUGACUAUGGAGGAAGUCACUGGCCUUGGAGAAAGCCUCCAUGCAAUGAUGAUGACAACAUGACAGCCAUAGAGAACUGCUCUGAGGAUUCUGUAACUACUGCAGCCACUUCACGAUUCACAGCUGAG